CCUACGGGAGGCUGCAGUUCGGAAUAUUCGGCAAUGCGCGCAAGCGCGACCGAGCGACGCCGCGUGCGGGAUGAAGGCCCUCUGGGUUGUAAACCGCUGUCACAGGUGAACAAAUCACGCAGACUAACACUCUGUCGUGUUGAGUUAAGCCUGAGAGGAAGCCCCCGCUAAUCACGUGCCAGCAGCGGCGGUAAUACGUGAGGGGCUAACGUUGUUCGGUGUCACUGGGCUUAAAGGGCGCGUAGGCGGCUGCGUAAGUAAGGUGUGAAAGCCCUCGGCUUACCCGGGGAAUUGCGCCUUAAACUGCGUGGCUUGAGGACCAGAGGGGUAGGAGGAACUCCAGGUGUAGCGGUGAAAUGCGUAGAUAUCUGGGGGAAGGCCGGCGGCGAAGGCGUCCUACUGGCUGGUUCCUGACGCUGAGGCGCGAAAGCGUGGGGAGC
rnacentral:rRNA from 1 species